AUGCUUUUCUCCCCAUUCAUACAACACCACCACUCAACACUCAAGUGCACUCCAUCGCCCCUUUGCCUUCCUAGCCUACAAGUUCAGCCAAAACACUCCCUUAAUCACUAGCAAACCAAGGGAAGUAAUUAGUCUAAGAUGCUGCCAGAAACUCCAAGGUGAGAUUUGGCUUUCAUUCAUCCGGUGCUCUGCCACUUCUAGAUUCAAUCAUUUGAUACCAGUUAACACUUGAAAGAGUGAGAGAUAGAGCAGUUCAAAUUUUGCCAAACUUCAACAAGAUCCAAUCAACUUAUUUAACUCAGCAACAACGGCAAACCUCUAAUCAUUUUCUAGGUAUAUACUACUGUUUCAGUUCAUUUUCUCAACUCAUUCAAGCCACAUAUAUUGUCAUCAUAUCAUAGCAUAAUCGAUCAUCUAUGAAGUGCUUAAGGAGAUGGAACGAAUUGUAGGCAUACUUCACUAUACUUUAUAAACACAAUGAGAUUUCUUAACUUCAUAAGCAAAUGAAUCAAGAUACAAUAGUAGAAUGAAAUAGACUUAACUUUAGAAGAGAAGAACGUUGGGCUGCACUGCGGGCCGCUGGACCUCAAGAACAGCGGCAACGGUGCGACGAAUCAAGCAGACGCCGGCAGCGACGCCCCUAGUCGUCAACGACAGCGCUACUCGCCGACUGCACAGUGCCGGUGGUGGAUCGAAACGAUAGCAGCGGCUUCCCCAAAACGGCAACACACGAACCACGUCGGUCCAGUGGCGACGACAGUGGCGGAAGUCUCGAGCGCAGCAGCAGCGGACGCUCGGCAACGGCGUUCUGCCUUUUCUAAAACUUAGGGCUCGACGACGGAGGGAGAUUCUGAGGACGAGGGAGAUGAACGGCGCCGCUCCCAGGCGGCGAUAUCUCGCCGAAAUUUCAGGGCAGCGGAGGCGCGACUGAUUUUAUGGGAGCAAGAGGCGGCGAAUCUCCCGGCCUUCCAGUUACAGCGGCGGAGGGAUCGACGGUGGUCCAGAGAUGGUGAGAUCGACGAUUGUGGUGGCCGAUGGCUGCUACUGUUCGUCUGUCAAGGAGUCGGAUUCACUGGUCGGCGGCGGCUUUUGUCGUUGCUGUCGCCGGAAACGGACGGAGAAGGGAGAGCAGUGGGUGACGACGGCUUAUCGCAGCUGCUCCCCGGCGAGCUUCCGCAGCGGCGAAGCUUUGAGAGAGAGAGAGAGAUGGAGGGAGACGGCGGCGAUACCUAUCAUCGUUGCCAAGGAAGGAGGCCGGUCGACGGCUGUCUCGCCGGAGGAAGCCGCGGCGGCGGGACUGAUGGCUGAGUGAGAGAGGUGAAGAGAGAGCCGAGAGGCAGAGAGGGAGAGUGAGGGCUGAAGCUAUGUGUGUGUGCGUGAGAGGCGCAGAUUUGAGGGAGGAAAGGAAGAAAAGGGCUAGGGAUUGGGGAGUGGAUUUGAGUUUGGGCCAAGUGAUGGGCCGAUUUUUUUAUUUAGUUGGGCCGAAAAAUUUGGGCCUCCUAUUUAUUUUUGGGCUUUGUUAUUUAUUUUCAGUGGGCUUGAGUUGGGCUGAGUUAUUUAUUAAUUUUGGGCCGAUUUUAAAUUAGGAAUUGGGCUUCAGAAUUUAUUUAUAUGGACCGAUUUUAAUUA